GAUGAACGCUGGCGGCGUGCCUAACACAUGCAAGUCGAGCGAAGCGCUUAAAUUAGAUUUCUUCGGAAUGACGAUUUUUGUGACUGAGCGGCGGACGGGUGAGUAACGCGUGGGUAACCUGCCUCAUACAGGGGGAUAACAGUUAGAAAUGACUGCUAAUACCGCAUAAGACCCCAGCUUCGCAUGAAGCGGUGGUAAAAACUCCGGUGGUAUGAGAUGGACCCGCGUCUGAUUAGCUAGUUGGUAAGGUAACGGCUUACCAAGGCGACGAUCAGUAGCCGACCUGAGAGGGUGACCGGCAACAUUGGGACUGAGACACGGCCCAGACUCCUACGGGAGGCAGCAGUGGGGAAUAUUGCACAAUGGGGGAAACCCUGAUGCAGCGACGCCGCGUGAAGGAUGAAGUAUUUCGGUAUGUAAACUUCUAUCAGCAGGGAAGAAAGUGACGGUACCUGACUAAGAAGCCCCGGCUAACUACGUG
rnacentral:rRNA from 1 species